AUUGAACGCUGGCGGCAGGCCUAACACAUGCAAGUCGAACGAGUGGCGGACGGGUGAGUAAUGUCUGGGAAACUGCCUGAUGGAGGGGGAUAACUACUGGAAACGGUAGCUAAUUCCGCAUACCAUCAGAUGUGCCAAGAUUGGAUUAGCUAGUUGGUGGGGUAACGGCGCACAAGGGCGACGAUCCCUAGCUGUUCUGAGAGGAUGACCAGCCACACUGGAACUGAGACACGGUCCAGACUCCUGCGGGAGGCAUCAGUGGGGAAUAUGGCACAAUGGGCGCAAGCCUGAUGCAGCCAUGCCGCGUGUAUGAAGAAGGCCUUCGGGUUGUAAAGUACUUUCAGCGGGGAGGCGUUACCCGCAGAAGAAGUACCGGCUAACUCCGUGCCAGCCGCUGCGGUAAUUC
rnacentral:rRNA from 1 species